GACGAACGCUGGCGGCGUGCUUAACACAUGCAAGUCGAACGGACAGGCCCUGCUUUUGUGGGUUGCUCGAGUGGCGAACGGGUGAGUAUCACGUGAGUAACCUGCCCUUGACUUUGGGAUAACUUCAGGAAACUCGGGCUAAUACCGGAUAUGAUCUCCUGCUCCAUGGUGGGCGUUGGAAAGUUUCGGCGGUUGGGGCUGGUCUCGCGGCUUAUCAGCUUGUUGGUGGGGUAGUGGCUUACAAAGGGUUUGACGGGUAGCCGGCCUGGGAGGGUGACCGGCCACAAUGGGACUGAGAUACGGCCCAGACUGCUACGGGAGGCAGCAGUGGGGAAUAUUGCAGAAUGGGCGGAAGCCUGAUGCAGCAACGCCGCGUGCGGGAUGACGGCCUUCGGGUUGUAAACCGAUUUCGCCUGUGACGAAGCGUGAGUGACGGUAAUGGGUAAAGAAGCACCGGCUAACUACGUG
rnacentral:rRNA from 1 species